rnacentral:rRNA from 1 species
CAGUAUUUACCGCAUGGUAGAUAUUUGAAAGGAGCAAUUGCUUCACUAUGAGAUGGACCUGCGUUGUAUUAGCUAGUUGGCGAGGUAACGACUCACCAAGGCUUCGAUACAUAGCCGACCUGAGAGGGUGAUCGGCCACACUGGGACUGAGACACGGCCCAGACUCCUACGGGAGGCAGCAGUAGGGAAUCUUCGGCAAUGGGGGCAACCCUGACCGAGCAACGCCGCGUGAGUGAAGAAGGUUUUCGGAUCGUAAAGCUCUGUUGUAAGAGAAGAACUGUGAGAAGAGUGGAAAGUUUCUCACUUGACGGUAUCUUAC